rnacentral:rRNA from 1 species
GACGAACGCUGGCGGCGUGCUUAACACAUGCAAGUCGCGCGGAGCGGCGAACGGGUGAGUAACGCGUGAGUAACUGCCCCCCUCUCUGGGAUAACAGUUGGAAACGGCUGCUAAUACCGGAUAGUGGGGGAUGACGCGCGUCCUAUCAGCUUGGUGGUGGGGUAGGGGCCUACCAUGGCGACGACGGGUAGCCGGCCUGCGAGGGCGACCGGCAACAGUGGGCUGAGAGACGGCACAAACUCCUACCGGAGGCAGCAGUGGGGAAUAUUGCACAAUGGGGCAAACUCUGAUGCAGCAACGCCGCGGGCGGGAUGACGGCCUUCGGGUUGUAAACCGCGUUCAGCCAUGACGCGGUAGUGGCAGAAGAAGCACCGGCUAACUACGUGCCAGCAGCCGCGGUAAUAC